UGGCGACCGGCGCACGGGUGAGUAACGCGUAUGCAACCUGCCCGAUACCGGGGUAUAGCCCAUGGAAACGUGGAUUAACACCCCAUAGUACUUUUAUCCUGCAUGGGAUGUGAGUUAAAUGUUUAAGGUAUCAGAUGGGCAUGCGUCCUAUUAGUUAGUUGGCGGGGUAACAGCCCACUAAGACGAUGAUAGGUAGGGGUUCUGAGAGGAAGGUCCCCCACAUUGGAACUGAGACACGGUCCAA
rnacentral:rRNA from 1 species